rnacentral:rRNA from 1 species
AGAGUUUGAUCCUGGCUCAGGACGAACGCUGGCGGCGUGCCUAAUACAUGCAAGUAGAACGCUGAAGAGAGGAGCUUGCUCUUCUUGGAUGAGUUGCGAACGGGUGAGUAACGCGUAGGUAACCUGCCUUGUAGCGGGGGAUAACUAUUGGAAACGAUAGCUAAUACCGCAUAACAAUGGAUGACACAUGUCAUUUAUUUGAAAGGGGCAAUUGCUCCACUACAAGAUGGACCUGCGUUGUAUUAGCUAGUAGGUGAGGUAACGGCUCACCUAGGCGACGAUACAUAGCCGACCUGAGAGGGUGAUCGGCCACACUGGGACUGAGACACGGCCCAGACUCCUACGGGAGGCAGCAGUAGGGAAUCUUCGGCAAUGGGGGCAACCCUGACCGAGCAACGCCGCGUGAGUGAAGAAGGUUUUCGGAUCGUAAAGCUCUGUUGUAAGUCAAGAACGAGUGUGAGAGUGGAAAGUUCACACUGUGACGGUAGCUUACCAGAAAGGGACGGCUAACUACGUGCCAGCAGCCGCGGUAAUACGUAGGUCCCGAGCGUUGUCCGGAUUUAUUGGGCGUAAAGCGAGCGCAGGCGGUUUGAUAAGUCUGAAGUUAAAGGCUGUGGCUUAACCAUAGUACGCUUUGGAAACUGUUUAACUUGAGUGCAGAAGGGGAGAGUGGAAUUCCAUGUGUAGCGGUGAAAUGCGUAGAUAUAUGGAGGAACACCGGUGGCGAAAGCGGCUCUCUGGUCUGUAACUGACGCUGAGGCUCGAAAGCGUGGGGAGCGAACAGGAUUAGAUACCCUGGUAGUCCACGCCGUAAACG